rnacentral:lncRNA from 1 species
AAAGUGUCACCAGUCAAGCACAGAAAAAACACUUGCUAACCUAGGCUCCAUUGCCUUAAACUUUGUUCAUCAGUUAAGACAAGAGUUAAGUCCAUCUUGUGGAGAGAAAGAAGGAUGGGAAAAGUUUCUUAGGCGUGAAUGUCAAAACAAAAUUAUGUCAUCAAGGCUCCUGGUGUAGUUUCCUUUUGUGGGAUGAUUUUAAUCUGGUUUUGGAAGAAUAUGUUUCUGGGGUGAUGGCUUUUAGAGAAUAUGUGACCUGUGGCUACCAGGUAAUCUUCUUACACACAGAGAGUGCUGUCUUGGGUGGUAUAAAAAGGCUGAGAGAAGAAACAAACAAACAAACAAAACAAACAAACAAACAAUGUUCUUGGCGCCAGCACGUUUCCAUCCACCAAAUGUGCACAUGUGGAGAUGUGGAUAUGGAGAUGUGGGUGUGGGUAAAACGGUUGGAGCCUGCUUAUUGGAGCUCGCUCCAUCCAUCUGAUAUGUCUGUCUGUCUGUCUGUCUGUCUGUCUGUCUGUCUGUCUGUCUGUCUGUCUGUGUGAAUGUCUGAACUUAUGUGUAUGUGUGAAGCUGUUUGAGUUUCCUGCUUUCUACACUCAGUGUGUGUGUGUGUGUGUGUGUGUGUGUGUGUGUGUGUGUGUGUGUGGUGUCUGUGUGUGUUUGUGUGUGAUUUCCCCCUCUCCCCUUUACUCUUUGCAUUUUGCAGGAUUCAGCAACCCUCUCUCGGUCAAAGGGAGUGCCUCCCCUUCCCCAAUAAGUGAAACUUUAUUCCCUUAGAGAAAAGUGGUGAGUAGGCCCCACCCCACCCCCAACCCUGCCAAUUCCUCACUCAGCCUUCCACAGUUAACGCUGUAGGGUCCAUGCUGACCUUGGCAGACUGUAAGGACAGAGUUGACUGGGCCCACCGAGGUGGGAGUUCUGGGGGUCUCCGGUGGAGUGGUGGAGUAUUGGAUGGGUUGAGAUUGGGGUCGAGGGGUGCGAGGGUGGGGCAUGGUGGGUUGGGAGAGUCUCUGCAAGCACCGGGGGUCGCAGAGUAAGGAUCCCAGCGAGGCAAUAGAGGAAUAUGCUUCAAUAGGACUCAGGCUCUCUUUUGCUAGUCUUGCUUUUUUAUUAUUAUUACUAGAUAUUCACUUCAUUUACAUUUCAAAUGCUAUCCCAAAAGUCCCCUAUAUCCUGCCCCCAGCCCUGCUCCCCAACCCACCCACUCCUGCUUCCUGGCCCAGGCAUUCCCCUGUACUGGGGCAUAUGAUCUUUGCAAGACCGAGGGCCUCUCCUCUCAUU